CAAAUUUAUACGCAAAAUAUAACAACCAUGCAAGGCAUAGAGGAUUCGAAGCAGGUUCAUUCGUUUUCUACAAAUGGGGCAUGCGCCGGCCCACAGCUGGUCAGUCUCUGGUGAGCCAGCGGUGUGGUAGACGUGUGUGGCUGUAGCCGAGUAUGGAAUCUUCUCAACCCUCAUAGGUUUGUUUGUGAUGCCAUGAAAUACCUGAUGGGAUUCCUGAGCACUGUCUCCAUGUUUCUCCUCCAGAGAAACUUAGCAAUCUUAUGGCAAGUGGAGCCAUUAUUGUAGGAGGCUCUUCAGUCUGCUGAAUCAGACGUCACAUCUUUAAAAUGUCCACCUGGGGUUGACGCACCAGGGCAGCAGUCAAUCUCUCCUGGAGCCUCCUGACAUGCAACAAAGAGGAAGUUGUAUGAUAAUGGAUUGGGAAUGUAUGUGAUAAUGGUGGUUCACAAAUUCAUCCAUCUCAGUCACUCGGCUUCCACCAAUCACCACCCCACCAGGAUCCACAGUAAACUUUCAGCCCUGAUAGCAGUGAAUCCUCUACAUAAACAAGCAAUAUUCACCAGAGUGGGGCUACAGCCUCCUAUCCUAUUUCAGAAGAGAUGGAGGGAGAAGGCAUUGGCAGGAUGAUAAAACAAGCACCACAAAUGGAG